AUCUGUUUGUGAGUCUAUUUAUCUGCUGUACUGUAGGGGGACCUCAAGCACAAUCACUGAACAUCAUACAGUACAGAGACACUCCCUGCUGUAACCGUUCAUAUCUGUAGCGUCACACCUCCAUCACACUGACUGACAGUGACUCUGGUCUCCAACUUCAUUUUGUUCAGAGCACAAUCAUGAUCACAGCUGGUCUGAUCGAACUCUCUGCAGCUCUGCUCUGGAUUGUAGGUCUAACUGAUGGGAGUGAUGUCAUCCAGGCCCCUCUGCUGUGGAGGGUGGAGGGUCAGUCUGCCACAAUGAACUGCAGCCACACUAAGGACAUCUCAUACCGAACGAUGUACUGGUACAGACAGCUGCCAGGAGAGGGAAUGAGGCAAAUAGUUUACACGACUCCAACUCCUCCACAUGCAUAUGAAAGUGGCUUCAGUGUGGACAAAUUUCCUGCAACAAAGAGCGACGCUCACACUGGAUCUCUGACAGUGGAGAAGCUGCUGCCUGGGGACAGGGGAGUGUAUUUCUGUGCUGUGAGUCAACACAGUGAUGCAGGAGACUUAGACAGCUGCACAAAUACCCAACUGUUGCCGUCACAAUAAAUAAAUGUGUUAAUUAUCAGUAGGGGGAGCUCUAGACUGCGUUUAGAUUUUUGGUUAGUAUUCAGUAAUUUGUGAUAAGCGGCUUUUACACUGAAGUGGAGCAACAUAUAGCUGAAUAGUUGUUUUUCAGAUGUUAAAUGACAGGCAAUGGAUACAGAAAUUGUUACACAAAAUGUACUCAAUACUAUUCAACAUGUUUUCUGACAUUUGUAGAAUAUAUUUUAGUGCUGAAUUAAAUAUUUCUAUAAUAUAUUUCAUUCCUUUUGAAAUUGUGUACAACCCGUUUGAAGGUUACCAAUGACUGUGCUGUAUUCUGUGAUUGUCUGAAUCUAAAAUAAAAAC